GACGGAGGGUGCAAGCGUUGUUCGGAUUGACUGGGCGUAAAGCGCGUGUAGGCGGCUGGUUAGGUGUGAUGUGAAAUCCUCGGGCUCAACCCGAGAACUGCAUUGCAAACCGGCCUGGCUAGAGUGCAGGAGAGGGAAGCGGAAUUCCAGGUGUAGCGGUGAAAUGCGUAGAUAUCUGGAGGAACACCGGUGGCGAAGGCGGCAUCCUGGACCGGCAUUGACGCUGAGGAGCGAAAGCCAGGGGAGCAAACGGG
rnacentral:rRNA from 1 species